ensembl:lncRNA novel transcript, antisense to SLC28A1
GUGUCAGGGGCAUCAGAGAACUCUGGAACGACCAAUGCUGCAGGUUGUAUCUGGACUUGCUCUGCUGUCAUCUGUCACCAACUUCCCUGUGGUGGGGAAGUCACCCGACAGAGAACACCAGAACUGUGCCCCGUGACUCCUCCUCCCGCCUGGGGCUAGAAACACCUCCAGCACGGGUAGGAUGACAUCAUCCCACACUCCUGGGACUGAGAUGCAGAGAGAGUCACGUACUGUCUAGACUGCUUGUCCAGUGGAUCCUGAGAGGGACUGCAGGGCAGCUAGCAGGCCUGCAGGGAUGGGCCCACGCCAGGAAGGAGAGUGCCCGGGGCAUCAGGACCCCACUGCAGCAUUGGGACUUUCUCCUGCCAGCAAUCAAAAGAUUUUCUAUCUGUGAGACGGAGAAUGGUAGAAGAGAAGCUAUGUUUUGGAUUAAGUGGGGCCUGUCUAGGGAGGGGAGGGGAAUGAAAGAGAAAAGAGGUGGCCCCAAUUUUCUAAGGUAGGAUAGAAUAUUAAAUAAGGUCCCUGUGGCCAAUAUCAUCUUACAGCCCAGGAAACACCUCUGGGGCCUGCAGGAUGUGAGGUGGCAGAACAGGGCAGCAGCUCGAGGCAGUGCUGCUGUGGAAAGGGGAGGCAAGUGCCAUUAAAUUCCACUGUGUGCCAACCACGAGGGCUUGUCCUGGGCCAGGUCCCUAAUAUGUGGGGACUCAUGAAUCCUCAUAGCAUCUGUGGUGGAUGUAACUGUCGCCACUUCACAAAUGGGCACACGGAGGCUGUGAGAUCUUGGCUACCCACCCGAGGUCACACACCUGCAAAGAGGCAGAUGCAUUUCCCAGCCACCAUGCAGAUUGCCAAGGUCCUGCCAUGCCCCUUGGGAGGUUUGCCCUGGGAACAGUCCUGGAGGCUUGUUUCUCUGCCUUCAGGGGCAGCAUGCAUCCCUGCUGGAAACUGAAUGUCUGUGUCCCCCUAAAUUCAUAUAUUGAAACCAAAUUCCCUAGGUGAUGGUAUUAGGAGGUGGAGCCUUUGGGGGUGAUUAGGUUAUGAGGGUGGAGCCCUCAUGAAUGGGAUUAGUGCCGUUGUAAAAGAGGCACAGUGGCUCACGCCUGUAAUCCCAGCAUUUUGGGAGGCUGAGGCCAGAGGAUCCCUUGAGUUCAGGAGUUCAAGACCAGCCUCGGCAAUAUAGUGAGACCCUGUAUCUACCAAAAUUCAAAAAAAUUAGCUGGGCAUGGUGGCAUGUGCCUGCAGUCCCAGCUAUUCUGGAGGCUGAGGCAGGAGGAUCACUUGAGCCAAGGAGAUGGAGGCUGCAGUGAGCAGUGAUCACACUACUGCACUCCAGCCUGGGCAACAGAGUGAGAUCCUGUCUCAAAAAAAUAAAAAUAAAAAAUAAAAGAGGCUCCAGAGAGCUCCCUCACCUCUUUUACCAUGUGAGGACACAGACGACCAAGUAGGCAGAGAGCAAAGUGGGCCUCAACAGAAUUCAACCUUGCAGGGACACUGAUCUCAGACUUCCAGCCUCUAGAAGUGUGAGAAAUAAAUUUCUGUUGCUUGUAACCACCCAGUUUAUGGCCUCCUGGAUGGACUAAGGCAGUCCCCUUCAAGGAAGAGCCAAGUAAGUCCUGACCACUGCCUUGUAGAAAUGGCUUUGGAGGCUGGUCCUGCUAGUACCAUAACUCAAGGAAGAAGGAAAUUCUAGCUCUUCUAGGCCAGUGGUUCUCAGCACGUGGACCAGCAGCAUCCUUUGAGAAUUUGCUAAAAAUAUUUUGGAUUUAAUAGGUCUACAGUGGGGCCUGAUGUUUGGCCUUUCCAGAUGCUGCUGGUGCAGCUGACCUGGACACCACACUCUGACAACCACAGCCCUGGAGACUAGAUUAGACGCUCUGAGCAAACUUCAUCACCUGGGCCAAGAAACAGGCUUUGAAGGCCAGAUAAACCCCACUAAGGACAUGGCCUGCCCCCUCCUCUCCCUGGAGGAAGCUGAGCCAGGGCUCCUGCUGACUUUCUAAGGCUGUCUGGGCAAACCCUCAUGUCUCCAGACCCCAAGGCUUGAGCACUGUCGACAGUGCCCUGUCACCAGCCCCAGGCCACAGUGAGCCACUAAAACCCAAAGCUGGAAGAUGCUCGGGGCAGCAGCUGUGGUGCACACUGUACCAGUACCACCGCCAGAAAGUGGAAGGGACUCAUCUCCAA